GCAUUUCUACAUAUGCAAUAUGUGAAACAUCUCUUUAACCGCGAUCCUUACAUUCUAACCUUUGAAAGAUUUAGCCAAACAUGGUGAUACAAACAAAUACAACGAUAUUGAACAUGUUGAAAAGAAGUUUAGAAUGUAAGGCGUGAAGAACAAGUAAAGCGCGUAAAACAAUUAAAACGAGCAAUAAAGAUAAUGGCGAGAAAAUUAAAUAAAGUAAAUACAAUGGCAGGAAAUUAAAUAAAGUAAAGCAUGACAAGUAAUUAAAUAAAGUAAAGCAUGACAAGGAAUUAAAUAAAGUAAGGCAUGCAAGUAAAAUAAAAAGGCGAUUAAAUUAGAACCUGCUCCAAACGGAGGCUUUAAAUCUAGUACAAGGAAGUAAAUAGACCUUUGACUUUGAAAAUAAAGACGACAGCAAAAUCAAAGUGCUCCAACUCAAUUUCACUAAGGUGCGAUAACCCCUCGAUGUGACAGAUUACAACUUUUACAAAUGAUAAUAUAGUCUUAGUGUUGUAAACUAAGUUGGAUGAUUUGGAAAUGAACUAGAACGACCUAUUUAUAGAGGAACUCAGCAGCAUGCAAAGACCAGGAUGCCCUUUAACUUCUCUUUAGUGGGAAUGUGAAAUGCAAAGGUGGCGCUCGCCACCCCUCUAUGGCGCCCACCAUGUGAGUAAAUGGGGAAGUUCAUGGGAUCAUGGCAGUUUCCUCCUGGUUGAGGGCUGAUGUGUCAUGGCUUCUCCUAUAGCGGCGGCCAUGCAGAACGCCAUGAGUACAAUAUUUGCCGAAAACCCAAAUUUUUUUGGUCUUUUUGCUUCGUUUCUUCUACAAAGAUCCUGAAAGAGCUAAAUACUUGAAAACAACACAAAAGAAAGCAUAACACAAGCAAAAUGAUAAUAAAGACCUAAAAAACAUGUGAAGUCCGAGUAAAAAAUAUGGUGUGAUUCAGUGUGAUCAAAUUCUCCCACACUUAAACCUUUGCUUGUCCUCAAGUAAAACUCUUUAUAGCUCAUGCAAGAAAAACAAUAUCAACCAGAGUUAAUUCAAGGCGAAAAGGCUUAUAAGUUCAUUCAAGGAAUGUAUCGAUAGGUACUAACGAAUCGAACUAAGGAUAUUGUAGUGGCACUUCCCGCAAAUGCGGUCCUAGGCUUCGUUCCUAUACAAAUCAAUCCAUAUCACCCCACCAUGCCUAGGCCUUCUUUUCAUCUUCUUCAAGUCCUUUUCAUUCAGAUGUGUAGAGGGGUAUUCGUUACCAUUAGAGAUAUUGACUAAAUCCAAGGUAAACCAUACAAGUCGAGUCGCC
rnacentral:lncRNA from 1 species